rnacentral:rRNA from 1 species
UACGAAGGGGGCUAGCGUUGCUCGGAAUUACUGGGCGUAAAGCGCACGUAGGCGGAUUGUUAAGUCGGGGGUGAAAUCCUGGAGCUCAACUCCAGAACUGCCUUCGAUACUGGCGAUCUCGAGUUCGGGAGAGGUGAGUGGAACUGCGAGUGUAGAGGUGAAAUUCGUAGAUAUUCGCAAGAACACCAGUGGCGAAGGCGGCGCACUGGCCCGAUACUGACGCUGAGGUGCGAAAGCGUGGGGAGCAAACAGG